rnacentral:misc_RNA from 1 species
AAUCAAACCAAAAUAAUCCCACACCAGCACUAAAUAGUCCACGUCCAUAAAACACAAAUUCCCGCAAAAAAUAAAUAAGAAGAAAUUGAAAGAAAAUGUUAAUAUUUCCAGGUUGCUGGACAAACACCAAUUCACUAUGAUGGAACCGGAACUAUAAUUGGAAUUAGUUAGUGCUUGAUAUAAGGCCAACGAACCACAAAAGCCAUAUUUACAUUGCAACAGAAACUUAAAACUUCAAGCACUGUUUCAUAAAAGGUCGCAUUUCCAUCUUGAUAUGAAGAUGGGGUCACUAAAAAAAUAAUUAUAGAAUUGAAGUAUAAAAUUGAAAACCACACCAAUAA